rnacentral:rRNA from 1 species
AUUGAACGCUGGCGGCAGGCCUAACACAUGCAAGUCGAACGGUAGCACAGAGAGCUUGCUCUCGGGUGACGAGUGGCGGACGGGUGAGUAAUGUCUGGGAAACUGCCCGAUGGAGGGGGAUAACUACUGGAAACGGUAGCUAAUACCGCAUAACGUCGCAAGACCAAAGUGGGGGACCUUCGGGCCUCACACCAUCGGAGGUGCCCAGAUGGGAUUAGCUAGUAGGUGGGGUAAUGGCUCACCUAGGCGACGAUCCCUAGCUGGUCUGAGAGGAUGGCCAGGCACACUGGAACUGAGACACGGUCCAGACUCCUACGGGAGGCAGCAGUGGGGGAUAUUGGACAAUGGGCGCAAGCCUGGUGCAGCCAUGCCGCGUGUAUGAAGAAGGCCUUCGGUUUGUAAAGUACUUUCAGCGGGGAGGAAGGCGGUGAAGUGAAUAGCUUCACCGAUUGACGUUACCCGCAGAAGAAGCACCGGCUAACUCCGUGCCAGCAGCCGCAGUAAAAC